rnacentral:lncRNA from 1 species
UUCAUCACAAAACUAAAAAGAAAAUAGGGAAAAAAAAAGCUAAGCUAAAGAUGUCAAAGAAAAAUACCAAAAUGCAAAUUAGUAUCUAAUAUGGGUUCUUGCAUGUAUAUAUAUAUAGAUGCAUGUAUAUUUAUAACGUAUCACCUGUCUUGAGUUGUCAUAGGAACAAUCGAAGAGUGGAAGACUCACUGAGCAGAUGGAAG